rnacentral:lncRNA from 1 species
GAAAAAACGUGACUUUCCCAAUUAAUGCAACUACUUCUAAGAAUAGAUCUGUUUGCUCUAAAUGCAAUGAUUCAGCUGUGGAGCGUAAAUUGUUAAUGUCUAAUGAAAAACUCCCUGUAUUCCUGUCAAGGAAGUUUUUGAGAAAUUAAAUUAAAAUCUAGAGAAGAAAAAUUAAUGUUAAGAAGACAGAUUAGUGCUUAGUACUGGGCAACUUGUUCUUGUUCCUGUGCACAAUGGUUUGUGCUCUUUCUCUUGUUUGAUUAAAAUUAAUAACAAGUCAACCACUUGCCGUAACCAUGACACCGGUUCCAGUCAGUAAGUCAAGAAAGAAUAGUCAAGGUAUAGGCCAAUAGUUUGGGACAUUUCUUACUAUUAUUAAAAGUUAACUAAGCAGAAACAGCUCAAAGCAAAAUGCGAACUGAAAGUAC